UACGUAGGGACCGAGCGUUGUCCGGAUUCAUUGGGCGUAAAGAGCUCGUAGGCGGCCACUCAAGUCGAAUGUGAAACCUCGAGGCUUAACCUCGAGCCUGCAUUCGAUACUGGGCGGCUAGAGUCUGGUAGGGGGGAUCUGGAAUUCCUGGUGUAGCGGUGGAAUGCGCAGAUAUCAGGAGGAACACCGGUGGCGAAGGCGGGUCUCUGGGCCGAUAUUGACGCUGAGGAGCGAAAGCGUGGGGAGCGAACAGG
rnacentral:rRNA from 1 species